AUCCUCCUCAUCUCCGGUGAGUCCUUGUGGUGUGCACUGGGUGAAUGGUGGUGGUGAUCUAAAGGCCGGGGGGCCUGGUUGGCCCCCCGGCUCGCUAGGGUUAGGGCUGACAUCUACUCCAAUACCAUUCAUGACUGCUGCUUGCAUCUCCUUAGUAGAGUCACUGCACUUGGCUGUGGGGUGCACUUAGGAUUAAGCAGAGGACCUGUAUGUGUCCUGUUACUUGGCCAGCUGCAUUUCAGGAGAUGCUGCACUGCAUUGGAGUGGUAAGUCCUCAGUCUGCUUUUAUCCAGCAGGGGAGUCUCUUCCCAAGGUUUCUAUCUUCAGCAUCUUCAGAGCCAUGGAACAAGGGAAGAAGCUGAGGCCAAAAGGAAGAAGAAGAAUGGAUGUGCCUAGGAGCAGCUGGGUGCGUUCAGUAACAACGAUGGGAAGAGAUCCAUGCAACUCCUUGCUGCUUGCCUUUGAUCUGCUGGGGGCAAGCAGCACCUUGGGGAAGGAAGCCUGUGCUGCUGGUGCAGAAGCUGAUAAAGGAAUGAAGAGAACUGCAAAGUGAAAACUGGACCCAGGAUUUUCUGAUCUGAAGCUUAAGCCUGUCCCUUGUCAGCACCAGCUGAGAUGCUUCAACACAAUGCAGCUCCCUUCAGUAAGGGGAGGAAAAGACUCCCCCAAAAUAUCACUUUGUGUGCCUAAGGAACUUGCCUGUCCUCAUUUAUCAACAGCCCUUAUCAGGAGGAAAGUGUAAAUUGAGACCACAAGCAGAACCCAAUGUUCUGAAAGAGAAAGCUCAAAACAAACUGAACAAGAAAGUGUUUUGCUUUCUGGGAUUUUUAUCUCCUAUCAGAAGCUUAAAGCUGCUCAUGAAAUAUUUUCACUCACUCCAAGAAGAAAGAAAAGAGGGGAAAAAAAAACCAACACCAACCUAAAAACAUAUUUCCUGUAAAAAGAUAAUACCAAAGAAUUUGCAUUUUCCCAACAGCUGCAGUAAAUCCUCCUCUUGCAGGGCUGCUGAGAGAGGGAUGCUGAGCUUUAAGCAGUUAGAGCAACUGAGCUUCAGCUGCUGUAAAUCAGCCUAGUUCCACUGAAACAAGAGAUUUUGGAGCUCCUCUCUGCACAAUGCAGCUUCAAGAAUCAUAGAAAGAUGCAGCUUGGCAAAGGCCCUUAGGGUCACCAAGUCCAACCUCAAACCCUCUGCUACAAGAUUUGCCUCAAAUCAGAGUACCAAGCACUACAUUCAAGCCACCCUUAAGCACAGUUGGGGUUGGUGACUCCAUCACCUCCCUGGGCAGCUCAU